UUUGAAAAAAUUACACUUGACCGAUGAUUUAUCACCAGGGCAGGUAUAGAACUUCCUCUCAGGAUUUUUCUGCGUUCCGGAUGUGAAGACAGGACACGUGCCUCGACCACAAGGACAUCGAAUCAGUGGCAAACCAGAAGAACCCAUGGAGGUUGAUCCAGGACUGGAGGGCUGUGAUAUCUUUCGGGUUUUGUUGGGGCAUUCUUUGGCCCAAUG
rnacentral:misc_RNA from 1 species